GAUGAACGCUGGCGGCGUGCCUAAUACAUGCAAGUCGAGCGAACAGACGAGGAGCUUGCUCCUCUGACGUUAGCGGCGGACGGGUGAGUAACACGUGGAUAACCUACCUAUACGACUGGGAUAACUUCGGGAAACCGGAGCUAAUACCGGAUAAUAUAUUGAACCGCAUGGUUCACUAGUGAAAGACGGUUUUUCUGUCACUUAUAGCUUGAUCCGCGCCUCAUUAGCUAGUUGGUAAGGUAACGGCUUACCAAGGCAACGAUUCGUAGCCGACCUGAAGGCGUGGUUGGCCACACGGGAGGUGAGACAGAGCAGAGACUCCUAGGGGGGGCCGCAGUCGGGAAUCGUACGCAAGGGGGGAGAGGCUAACGGAGCAAAACGGCGUGAGUGAUGAAGGUGCUCGGAUCGGAAAGCUCUGUUAUUAGGAGAGAACAAAUGUGUAAUUACCCGGGCACGUAUUGACGGUACCGAAUAAAAAAGCCCCGGCUAACUACGUG
rnacentral:rRNA from 1 species